AGUGAACGCUGGCGGUAGGCCUAACACAUGCAAGUCGAACGGCAGCACAGUAAGAGCUUGCUCUUACGGGUGGCGAGUGGCGGACGGGUGAGGAAUACAUCGGAAUCUACUUUUUCGUGGGGGAUAACGUAGGGAAACUUACGCUAAUACCGCAUACGACCUACGGGUGGAAGCAGGGGAUCUUCGGACCUUGCGCGAUUGAAUGAGCCGAUGUCGGAUUAGCUAGUUGGCGGGGUAAAGGCCAACCAAGGCGACGAUCCGUAGCUGGUCUGAGAGGAUGAUCGGCCACACUGGAACUGAGACACGGUCCAGACUCCUACGGGAGGCAGCAGUGGGGAAUAUUGGACAAUGGGCGCAAGCCUGAUCCAGCCAUACCGCGUGGGUGAAGAAGGCCUUCGGGUUGUAAAGCCCUUUUGUUGGGAAAGAAAAGCAGCAGGUUAAUACCCCGCUGUUCUGACGGUACCCAAAGAAUAAGCACCGGCUAACUUCGUG
rnacentral:rRNA from 1 species